rnacentral:rRNA from 1 species
UACGUAGGGUGCGAGCGUGGUCCGGAAUUAUUGGGCGUAAAGGGCUCGUAGGCGGUUUGUCGCGUCGGGAGUGAAAACCCAGGGCUUAACUCUGGGCUUGCUUUCGAUACGGGCAGACUAGAGGUAUGCAGGGGAGAACGGAAUUCCUGGUGUAGCGGUGAAAUGCGCAGAUAUCAGGAGGAACACCGGUGGCGAAGGCGGUUCUCUGGGCAUUACCUGACGCUGAGGAGCGAAAGUGUGGGGAGCGAACAGG